rnacentral:lncRNA from 1 species
UUCUGAGGAAAAGUUCUUGAACCAUUUCACCUGAUGAAAAGAACUUGAAAGCUUGUAUCACAUAUGCAUCACUUCUGCAACAUUAAAGUACAGUAGUCCUAAUACAGUAAAAGGAUCACUUACAGCAAAAUAAGUUGGCCAAUUCUUAGUGAAGAUUCCAGAAGGACACCUAUAUCUACAUUCAGGUUGGUUAACAGACAUAAAUACUUUGUCUGUGGAAUUCAUCCAUGACAGACUGUCAAAUAAAAUUUCAGAC